GAGAUUUUGACUUAUGAAUGUGAAAGUGCUAUAAAAUGUACCAGUUAGUUCUCGAAUCCCAUCACUUUAAAAGAAUUCUAACUAGUUCUGCCAGUAAUCAGCUCUCUUAUGGUCUACUCUUAGGUGAAGCUGAAGCUAACAAAGACCGCCAACAGCCAGGAACCUAAAAAUUCAGUGAAACUCUGCUUCAGCUUGCUGCAGGUUAUUGUCAUCCGUUGCUAGCAUUUGGAUUCUCAAGACGAGUAUGUCAUGAGAAAUCACCAUGUGAAGACAACCAGUUUUCUCACCUUACUCAUUUCCUCUCAUCACUUCUUGCCUGCUGAUGGUGAGUGAUGUCAGAAAACAUGCAGGGCAAAGGAAUAUGAAGAAAGAGGUCAACAAGAUGACUACUGAGCAGAUAAAAGUCCUGGCUGAUAAGUUGAGGAUGAUCCCUGGCUUCACAAGGAAUAACUUCAGGAGUUGCAGAGUAAAGCUGAUGGAAAAGGGCCUCUUCAUGGACUAUUCUAGAACAAACCAGGAAAAGGGAACACAGGAAAGAAUGAACGGUAUGGAUCAUACCUGAUCCAGGUGAUUUGGAUGUACAGUUACAUGGACUCCAGGAGUCUUUUCUCAAGAGAAAAAUGAUCACUCUUGGGGUAGAAUUGCCUCACCUGAAGUGGGGGAGGGGAGGUUGAAGGUAUUUCUUCUCUUCUCCGAGUCAAGAACUGAUGACCUAGACAAACACCUUGACCAAAACAGGUCACUUGGUACUUUAAAUUAUAUGAUUUAUACAAACUCUUACAAGACUUGCAGCUGUUCUUUUGGGUGCUUUUGGAAGAGGUUUCUUCACCCACUCACCUCCAAAAGGGGGUCCUUAAAAUGUAGCAAAAUGAGGUAUAGGGAUUGAGACAAAGACCAAAGAGCCAUUUUAGAGAGGAUAACCUCAGGAUGAUUGAGGAAAACAAAUGGAGUUAAUGUCAAAAUUCUGUAAACUCAGAUGUUUACAAAGAGAGCUAAAUGAAUAGAAUAAUAGAGACAAAAAAGAACUCUGCAUUACCACAAUGCUUCCAAAUUAUUUCUUUUUACCUUGAGGCUAUCCAAUUUUUUUUUUCUACUCCCUUGCUUCUGAGUUUACUGGUAGAUGUGAGCCAAUUCUCACACGAUUGUCUUAUUAAAACGAUUCCUCUCACAGCACAAUUGGGGGGAAAUUAAUCAAAGAACCCAGUUCUUCAAUCCAAGCUGUCACAUAACCCACAAAGCCUACAAAUGGGAAUUUCCAUUCAAGUAGUUGCAAAACAGUCUUUAAUACUUCAUAUUGUCUAUUGAUGGUCAGCUUCUUUCUUCAGUCAAACAGAACAAUCUUGUUUUCUCUAAUGAGAAGAAAAUUAAGUUAUAUCUUAAAAGAAGGGGUUUAUUGUUUGUCUUUAGACAAUAGACACUAGAUACCACAGUGUAAUGAAAUAAAUGCAAGGAGGAAGGCGAAUUUCUCAAGCUUUUCUCACACAGCUCUACUUUAGCUGGAUAUUCCCCCCGAAAGCCUGUCCCUUUGCAGAAGAGAGUUCUUUAGCCCUACAUAUGCUACUCUGUCUAAGAGAUGUACAGUGCCCAUAAAAUAGCCAAGCUCUCAGAAUCCUGAAGUAAAGAAAGCCAUUUAAUCUCCGUUAACCCAAUAUUUCCAAAAUUUAUGAGUCUACAAAGCUUUUCAAAUGCAGUUUCUACCAUAACUCUGUGGAGUUAGUGAUAUGGAAUAUGCCUGGGGCGUACUCCUAUACAGACACUGCAAGCAUGUCCUCAUGCACUCAAAGUCAAGCCCCUGAGAAAUGGAAUCACUUAGAGGUAAUCAAAGCUUUUGGUAGAAAAACAUAACUUUGAUGCUAAGAGCAUGGAAGAAAGAAAUUAUAUAGGCUGGGAACCAUGUACCACAGCUCUUAGAGAGAGUGGAGAUUAUAAAGAAUUGAAAAGAAAUCAAGAAACAGGAAACAAAAGUCUAAUAACUAAAUCUACUAGGCCAUAGAUUAACUUAAUGUUUCGAUGGUACUAGACAAAAUUUUCUAGGCUAUAGAGUAUUAAGACAAUAAUAAUUUUUACUAAACCUAUGGUACCUGGUACUUUGUAUCACUGCUGCCCAUGUGUUUUUUAGAAAUCUCCACUUCUCUGGGAUUCUAGUGGAGAGAGUAGACAGGCUCACAAAGCUUCCUGAACAUCGAAUUUCUCUUACAAAACAAUAGUUUGUCGAAUUACAUGCCAACUAAACAGAUGGAUUACAUUUCCCUCUCAAUGUGCACAAAUUAAAAAAUUAAAGAGAAAAAGUACUUGGUAAAGCCAGCUUUGUAUUUUGCUGCAUCAGAAACAUUUAGGGAAAUGGUUUGAAAUGUUUGGCUAAAGCCCAGUGCCACCAAGCCCUCCUGGCUCCAGACACCAGUCCCAUUGACCGAAAAUUUCUAUUAAGCAAACAAAUGGGUGAGUGGUUUGUUGCUGAUUUCCCCACAAGUGUGGAGCAUGAAAUGUAAUAUUCCUGGAAGGAUAAACACUGUGUGCUUCAUAUUUUUACAAAGAUGGGUAGAGACAGUUACCAGGACAGUUUAGAAGUAAUAUUAACUGAGAAAUUUUCUAAAGAGGUCACCUUUAUCUGUUAAUAGAGAAAUUGAAAAUGAAGCUCAUAGCAACAACAAAAAACACUAUAGAAAUUGGUAUAGUAAGGUCUUAAUUGCCUAAAGUUCAACAACUAUGAAUAAAAUUAUUG
ensembl:lncRNA